UCUACCUUAGUUUAAGUUAAAAUGUUGUCUUGUGGCGACAAAGAUAUAAUAAGUUUUAGGUGGUU